rnacentral:lncRNA from 1 species
CUUGAAUGUUUGGGUGCAAUUGUGCUCGAUCAGAUCAUGGCAGGAUUGGGCCCGUGCAGUUUGGGGCCAUGAUGCAUCCCUCUAAACUCUACCAAAUGCGUAUUUAAACUUUAAUUUUUACUAACCUAUGCCAAACAAAAAAUAUAAUAUUAACUCGGUGAAUUUAUCAUUAUCAGUUAGCAAUAACACUAAUUUAGAAGAUAUGUAGAUCGCACUUUUGUACUCUCAUCGGAACACAAUACAAACACAAGCAUAUA